rnacentral:rRNA from 1 species
UUAACACAUGCAAGUCGAGGGGAAACGACAUCGAAAGCUUGCUUUUGAUGGGCGUCGACCGGCGCACGGGUGAGUAACGCGUAUCCAACCUGCCCACCACUUGGGGAUAACCUUGCGAAAGUAAGACUAAUACCCAAUGACGUCUCUAGAAGACAUCUGAAAGAGAUUAAAGAUUUAUCGGUGAUGGAUGGGGAUGGGUCUGAUUAGCUUGUUGGCGGGGUAGCGGCCCACCAAGGCAACGAUCAGUAGGGGUUCUGAGAGGAAGGUCCCCCACAUUGGAACUGAGACACGGUCCAAACUCCUACGGGAGGCAGCAGUGAGGAAUAUUGGUCAAUGGACGAGAGUCUGAACCAGCCAAGUAGCGUGCAGGAUGACGGCCCUAUGGGUUGUAAACUGCUUUUAUAAGGGAAUAAAGUGAGUCUCGUGAGACUUUUUGCAUGUACCUUAUGAAUAAGGACCGGCUAAUUCCGUGCCAGCAGCCGCGGUAAUACGGAAGGUCCGGGCGUUAUCCGGAUUUAUUGGGUUUAAAGGGAGCGUAGGCCGGAGAUUAAGCGUGUUGUGAAAUGUAGACGCUCAACGUCUGCACUGCAGCGCGAACUGGUUUCCUUGAGUACGCACAAAGUGGGCGGAAUUCGUGGUGUAGCGGUGAAAUGCUUAGAUAUCACGAAGAACUCCGAUUGCGAAGGCAGCUCACUGGAGCGCAACUGACGCUGAAGCUCGAAAGUGCGGGUAUCGAACAGGAUUAGAUACCCUGGUAGUCCGCACGGUAAACGAUGGACGCCCGCUGUUGGUCUGAAUAGGUCAGCGGCCAAGCGAAAGCAUUAAGCAUCCCACCUGGGGAGUACGCCGGCAACGGUGCAACUCAAAUGA